GAUGAACGCUGGCGGCGUGCCUAAUACAUGCAAGUCGAGCGAACGGACGAGAAGCUUGCUUCUCUGAUGUUAGCGGCGGACGGGUGAGUAACACGUGGAUAACCUACCUAUAAGACUGGGAUAACUUCGGGAAACCGGAGCUAAUACCGGAUAAUAUUUUGAACCGCAUGGUUCAAAAGUGAAAGGCGGUCUUGCUGUCACUUAUAGAUGGAUCCGCGCUGCAUUAGCUAGUUGGUAAGGUAACGGCUUACCAAGGCAACGAUGCAUAGCCGACCUGAGAGGGCGAUCGGCCACACUGGAACUGAGACACGGUCCAGACUCCUACGGGAGGCAGCAGUAGGGAAUCUUCCGCAAUGGGCGAAAGCCUGACGGAGCAACGCCGCGUGAGUGAUGAAGGUCUUCGGAUCGUAAAACUCUGUUAUUAGGGAAGAACAUAUGUGUAAGUAACUGUGCACAUCUUGACGGUACCUAAUCAGAAAGCCACGGCUAACUACGUG
rnacentral:rRNA from 1 species